GUCUACGGCCAUACCACCCUGAACAUGCCCGAUCUCGUCUGAUCUUGGGAAGCUAAGCAGGGUCGUGUCUGGUUAGUACUUGGAUGGGAGAAACCAUGGUCUGGACACUGUUCACA
rnacentral:rRNA from 1 species